UUUUGGUUGUCUCUCGUAAGAGUGACACUGCACACGAAACCGCGUUGGUUGAUUUUACUCUGAAUAAUUUGGGUUGCAGAAAGGCGGCAGGCAAGCGCACAGGCAAUCUGAAUGGGGACAGGGCUGCCCAGGUCGGUUUCGUGUGCUGCAUUUUUGACGCAUUCAUUUAUUGGUAACGCAUGAACCCCAUCGUAAUUAAUCGGCUUCAACGGAAGCUGGGCUACACUUUUCAUC
rnacentral:sRNA from 1 species